AGUCUACUGAAUUCGUGCUGAGAUUUCGUCAGACACCAGACUUUCACGACUGAUGAGACCACCGAGAUCAGUAAAGCG
rfam:Schistosoma curassoni strain Dakar, Senegal genome assembly, scaffold: SCTD_scaffold0000334